rnacentral:lncRNA from 1 species
GAGAAGAUACAGCAGGAUGCAGGGGUGACAGUUGGAAAUCGGCCGAGUGGCGCUACAGUUAAAGAUCGGUUGGUUGGUGCUACAGUCCAGGAUUGGCCGAUGCUACAGUCCAGAAUCGGCCGAUAAAUCUUUAGAAUUCCGCCUCACUUAACCCUUGGGGUUUGGGAUCGGACGCGCUUGGUUCCCGAUCAGUUACCCUUUGCCGAUAAGGAAAUCGGCUGAUUAGGAGGUUGGAAUAGUUGGGCCGGUAUGGGCUUAGAAAGGAUUAUAAGGGAAUCAGCCCAUGAAGCGCAUAAAAAUCUACCUAGUACGAAUCGUACUUGUAAAUAUUCGUUUUCUAUUUGAAUUAGGGAUAGAGUUCUAGUCAGAUAAGGAGUCGUCUGUACGGGGCUAUAAAUAGCCACCUUUGUAGAUCUGUAAUCAUCAACAACUCAAUACAACAAACUACUAUUUCC